UCAAAGGCUAUGAAAGAGAGAGUACACAAUAUUCGUGUCUUAAGAGAAAUGGCGGCAGGUGCGAGCCAUGACAGAAUAUUGUGGAAAAUCACUCUGGAGCUGAGGGCUGAAAUAGUAGUAAGCCUUUCCGGUUUUUGUACCGUUAAAGUUUAUGAGUGAUCAUUCUUAUGAUAAAAUGGGUGGUACCGCGGAGACUUUCGCCCCAGAU
rnacentral:ncRNA from 1 species